GUCCUUUGGAACUCCGUUGGUAAAUGGUAGUGGAAGAAAUUUGUAUUUACAAGGCUAGCACAACAUGACCAAGAGCAUCUACCAUAUUUAGGUGAAAGUGCGUUAGCAGUUAUGUGUACGGCAAUUAAGUUUUGAAAGUAUUCAUGUUAAUUAUUUUACAUUUUAAGAUGUCAAUGAGAUAUUUAUUCUCAAUAUUUAAACAAACACCAGAUACCCUAGGAAUAAUUCAGCGACCUUCAAUAUG